AACAAAUAGUAAUAGGAGACUACUAGGAGACAAACAUUCUUUAAUUCCUGGUUGUGCCUUGCAUGUGAAGUGACACGUAAUAAUUUUACACUCUUGGAAGCUCUCUGUUGCCUCACUUAGUCUGUACCUGAGAAAAUGGAACAAUUGAUCAAAUUAAUGCAUUUGGGAAGCAAACCUUGGUGUGCAUUUUAGGCUCCAGAAAAAGAAUCUUCUUU
rnacentral:lncRNA from 1 species